UCCGGUGGCCAUAGCGAGAGGGAAACACCUCUUCCCAUUCCGAACAGAGCAGUUAAGCCUCUCAGCGCCGAUGGUACUUGGCCCGCAAGGGCCUGGGAGAGUAGGACGCCGCCGGUU
rnacentral:rRNA from 2 species